UACGUAGGGGGCGAGCGUUGUCCGGAUUCAUUGGGCGUAAAGAGCUCGUAGGCGGCUUGGCAAGUCGGAUGUGAAAACUCCAGGCUCAACCUGGAGCCGCCAUUCGAUACUGCUAUGGCUAGAGUCCGGUAGGGGAGUGUGGAAUUCCCGGUGUAGCGGUGAAAUGCGCAGAUAUCGGGAGGAACACCGAUGGCGAAGGCAGCACUCUGGGCCGGUACUGACGCUGAGGAGCGAAAGCAUGGGGAGCGAACAGG
rnacentral:rRNA from 1 species